CUCUUCGAUUUUGUUGAAACAAAUUUUGCAUUACUUAAAAAGACUCGGAGUCUAAGAUAAUUGUGCCCGACAGAUUCACAUUUUGAGAUCCAUUGCCCACUCAUAUUCAGCUACGGCUCCUGUCAGCUAGUCCUCUGCAAUCGCAUGAUCGAUAUCUCACAUCCUGAGCAAACAGAUCAUGGCCGACCAUCGCUCCACGUCCUCUGUGCGUAUUUGUCAAUAUCUCCUCAUUGGCCAAUCCUGUU
rnacentral:lncRNA from 1 species